CUGGCGGCGUGCCUAAUACAUGCAAGUCGAACGGUCUUUCUAUGGAAGCUUGCUUCCACUGAGAAGAUAGUGGCGAACGGGUGAGUAACACGUGGGUAACCUGCCCAUAAGAGGGGGAUAACAUCCGGAAACGGGUGCUAAUACCGCAUAGUUUUCUUGAUUGCAUGAUUGAGAAAGGAAAGACGGCCUUUGUGCUGUCGCUUAUGGAUGGACCCGCGGCGUAUUAGUUAGUUGGUGAGGUAACGGCUCACCAAGACGAUGAUACGUAGCCGACCUGAGAGGGUGAUCGGCCACAUUGGGACUGAGACACGGCCCAAACUCCUACGGGAGGCAGCAGUAGGGAAUCUUCCGCAAUGGACGAAAGUCUGACGGAGCAACGCCGCGUGAGUGAAGAAAGGUUUUCGGAUCGUAAAACUCUGUUGUCAGAGAAGAACAAGUUGGAGAGUAACUGCUCCAGCCUUGACGGUAUCUGACCAGAAAGCCACGGCUAACUACGUGCCAGCAGCGGC
rnacentral:rRNA from 1 species